AAUGAGUUUGAUAUUGAUAUUGAGGCUAUUGACACUGAGACCCUUUGAAAACUUGAUCGAUUGGUGACCAACUGGAAGAAGAUAUUGUGCAAAAUUAAGCAGCAGGCAUUCCUUGGCAACUUGAACAACAACAAUGGCGCAUCCAAUAAAUCCAAUAGGAAAUUAGCUACUAGUGAGAAAGUUGAGGUGGCUCCGGCUGAGGUGAAGAAACCAAAGAAAAUGGAUGCUGGAGAUGAAAAUGUUGACAUCGGAGAUGAGGAAGACGGCACUGCGAGGAAGAAGAUUACGUUGGCAUUUUUUUCGAGUUGUAGAUUGGGUGGGUUAUACUCGACUCGGGCCUAUUUGGCCAUGACCAGAAA